rnacentral:miRNA from 1 species
UGGUAAUGCAAGUGUUGCUAA